UUGAAGAGGAAAAUGGCCAGUAACAGCAGAUCGGCCACUGUGAUCGGGCGAGGGGUGAGCGCCUCGACCCGCGGCAACUGCCUUGGGUGAGCGAGGGAGUAGGAUGCGGGUGGGAUAAGGACACGGGUGGCCCAGGGAAAAAGGUGGGAUAAGGACACGGGUGGCAGUAGGACACUCCUUGUCAGGGGCACGGGGGGCACAGGGACCCUGGUUGUCAGGGAUGAAGGUGGCAGAGGGACACGGGUGGGAUACAGAGGCAGGUGGCACAGGGACAUAGGUUGUGAGGGCUGCAGGUGGCACAGGGCACGGGUGAGAUAAGGACUCGGGUGGCCUAGCCAUGGCAGUGCCGGGCCCAUACUGCUGCCCUUGGUGCUGCCCUGCGUGGUGCUGCAGGGAUCGCUGCUGGGAGCACGGGGUCCUAGUGUGCGAUGCGACCCUGCCAGCCCACAUCGCUCCUGUCUUUGUGUGGCCCGCACGGCAAAAUGGCCUCUACAGUGGCCCAACCGCAGGAAUUCAGCCGUGCUGAGAGAACCCGUCCUGCUGCUACUGCCUCUGGUGAGCCUGGGAGGAGGAUGGGAUCGGCUCUUCCUGCCACUAACAGUGCUGUGACCAUUGUGCCCCAGCAGAGCUCCACCGCAGACCAUGCGUCACCGGCACCCGCUGCCACAGGACCGGAGCCCUGAGGACAUCUUUGCCCCGAAGAGGAUGUGCGUGAGGGAGUGCCCGCAGUCCGGCAAAGGAUCCUGCUGCCAAGUGCCACGUCGGAUAGGAAGGUAACGUACUGCUCAUCCAGCCAGUGCCUGCUUGUCAGUGCCAGACAGGAAGAAAGCAGCCGCCUUCCCAGCUCACCUGGUGCCCAAGGCCUGCUCUCCACCGGAGCUGGGAUAUUCCAGGCCCGCGAGACAUGGCUGCUGGGUCAGCCAGUGGUGGGGAAGCCCCCUUGUUGGGUCCGUCAGCAUCCCCGCUGCCUUGUUCCACAGCGGUGCUGGCGGCAGCGCUGACCGGCACCAUCCCUGCCCUGUGCCCAGGCUGGGUUGGAGCUUGAAGGGCUCAGACGGCUGUAGCGGUGACUUUGCCGUGUGGCGCUGGCAUGUCCUGUCCCAGCCUGGCGCUGACCCUAACUGGCUCUCUCCCACUUGCACAGAGCAUGGGAAUCGCUGCCACGGGAAGACAGCACUCCGGGAAGAGCGAGCAAGGCUGUGCAGACCGAGGAAGCUGUCGAGAGGCCUGAGGAGGAGCGGCGGCAGUCCCCGAGCCCACCACCAUCGCUGGGGAAAGGAAGGCCACGCAGGAGGAGCAUCUGCCUGCUGGUGCCUGGCGAGAUCCACCCACUGGUGCUGUUCCCUGAGCUUAACCCAGAGUACCCCACUGCCGACAUGAUCCUGGAGGAGGAGGGGGAGGCAGCAUGGCAGCGCUCUCGACGGCUCUUGGGAGCUAAGGCUGGUAAGGGCAGAGUGGGAAUGCCAAGGGCACGGCAAGGGGGAGAAAGCCAUGGCCCGGGCUGGCAGGGCAGUGGGCGCCUGUGUAGCACAGGCUGAGGAAGCUCCUGGGCCAGUGCUGCAUCGGCUCCGAUGCUCUCAGAGACUUGUGAA